GGUCCACUGUCCACGGCAGGGGGCUGGGGAUGCCUUCAAGAGCAGAUGAGGAGCUGCGUGAGCAGUUAGGAGGGGAGAACAGCAUCGAAUCUUCUGAUUCAUCUGCCCCCAGGGCUUAGCAGACUGGCCGACUGGAGGCUGCCUGGUCAACACCAGCAGUGGGUCCAAAUAGGGGGUUCCCGGAGACGGGACAAGGAGCAAGAGCUGGAAGACGAAGAAGAGCAUGGGG